UUUUUUUUUUUAAUUAUUUGGAGGAGUUUGAGACUGCGCGAAUUUUUUAUUGUCAUGAUCUGGGUCAGUGAGAUAUGGACUAAUGGUGAAUUUGAUAUGGAAAUGGCAUUGAUUCGACCUCGACCGAGUGUGUUUUCUUGUGGAGAAAAUAUAGCGUUUGUCUGGUUAAGCUAAUGCAGCAUUUUUUUUUUUGUUUGGGGGUAGUUAUUGUAUGUGUGGGCCCCACCCACUUUUGAUGAUCCAUACUGUCCACUCGGUGGGUCCGGGCCCUGUCAUGAACUGGUCAUGGCCCGAAAGUUUUUUCCGUGGUAAAAUGCUAGCCAUAGAGUGGUGAAUUUUUCCCGUUGAAUGAGGAUCAUAGGAUAGACUCUUGAUUUCCAGAACAUAACUGGACAGAAAGAUUUUUGAUAGGCAUGGCUCAUUGCGCAUGGAUCAUGUAUGAUGGAUGGUCUGGAUCAGAAGAAAGGUGGUCUCGGCUUAGGUAGUAGGCGCCUCAACAAGAAAUCCCAUAUUACUUGGAGGAGCAUUAUAUAAGACUCCAGGCGCAAUGCUGCAGCAGUAAUCUAUCCAGUUUUCCAAGCCAUUUGACACCUUCCGUCUUUCUUACAAUAUGACUUUCUGCCUUUCAUCUUUCCCUAUAAUACCCCCUUUUUUUGGUGUGUGAUGAUAUGGAUUUAAGUAUUUUUGAGUCUGAACUGUUUCAACUGAAUUCCUUCCAAUUCAUUCAAGUUUCCUUUUUUUACUUUUGCCACUGAUUCCUUGUAAAUGAUCAGUUCUUGAAUGCAGUAUGAAUUCAAUGAAGUGAGGAGAUGAUGCACCUAAUUUUACAUCGUCUUUGUUGGUUGUCAUGAACAGUCGCUUAUGAGAUCCAGUGGGAGUCUGCAACUGACCUUUGAUAAGAUGAAUGAAAGAUAGGUGUUCAUAUGUUGAGUUUCUGGUGUUUGUAUAGUGUCUAAUUGUUCUAUAGCACAGUUAAAAGCAGCUAUCUAGCAUACUAUGUGUGCAAGAUAGGUGCUUGCAUGAGGUUUGGUGGUUUUCAGUGGGGCGUUGCUGGGCUUCUUUUCUUCGUGCUCUAUAUGCUUCUUGCUGGUGGUAGCUUUCAAAGAUGUUCCUUGAUAAAGUUGCAAUGAGAUCCAUUGCGUGAACCCAUUGAUCUGUGAUUUGCAUUUUUUUUUUUCUUUCUUAGUUGUCUCUUUCAUCCAUAUUGAGACUAUGGUUAAGAUGGAGAAUUCUUCCCUAAUUGAUGGAGAAGUGUUUACAUCUCUUUGGUUGAUGAUCUUUUAUUCAUUUGUUCAAUCAAAGAGGGGUAAGAUAGUGGGUUAGCUGAAAUAUGUAGUGUGGUGUUCAUUAGUGGCUUGGUGUUGUGGUGGUCUGUGCUGUUUUGCAUAGUUUUAGUGGAUUAACUCACUUGCCUACUCCAGUUUGUUUGUCUAGCUCUUAGCACAGAGUGGAAGUUGAACCCAAAUUGAAAGGACUUUGAAUAUGAAAUACUUUCCAACACAGUAGAAAAAAUUGAAAUAAUUAAAGGAUUGUUGAAUGAAUUUUAGGGCCUGUUUGGAUACCACCAAAUAAGUUACUUUUUUCUACUUACAGCAGUAGAUAAGUAACUUAUUUGAGAUAAGUAAGUUUAGUUUAAGAUCAAACAUAAGUAACUUUUUUACUUAAAGUUACUUAAUCACUCGGCUUAAUAAGUAGAAACCAAAAUAAGCUACUUGAAGCAUAAGUAGCUUAUCUUAAGUAACUUAAGAUCCAAACGCCGCCUUAAAGACUCAUGGCUCAGUGGUAGACACCGUGUGUUUCUACACCGAGGUCAUGGGUUUGAGAACCCAUGUGGUGUGUGGGUGUGGGUGCAAGAGUGUGUGUAUUCACCUUUCAAAAAAAAAAGGAAAAAAAAAUAAAAUUUUAAAGACUUAUAGGGCAUCACACCUUAUAAAGGACAGAACUAGGGCAUCACACCACUAUUUUGAGGGCAUCACAUCCCACAAUCUUGACCCUCAGAUGUUACCAGUAAAAGAAGUCUUUAACCAUAAAAAGUUAAACAUGUAGAGUUCCAUACCUACAGCCUUCUAUAUAUAGGCUAUGCACAGACCACUUUCCUAGUUUAACUGUUUUUUUUUUGGAUAAUUUACUUUCCUUGUUUGACUUAAACUCUCUGUGCUUGCUCAGCAAGUGUUCUUUUACUUAAAAGUGGAAACUAACUACUAACCUGAAAAAAAAAAAAGAAAA